rnacentral:rRNA from 1 species
UACGUAGGGUGCAAGCGUUAAUCGGAAUUACUGGGCGUAAAGCGUGCGCAGGCGGUUGUGUAAGACAGAUGUGAAAUCCCCGGGCUCAACCUGGGAACUGCAUUUGUGACUGCACAGCUGGAGUGCGGCAGAGGGGGAUGGAAUUCCGCGUGUAGCAGUGAAAUGCGUAGAUAUGCGGAGGAACACCGAUGGCGAAGGCAAUCCCCUGGGCCUGCACUGACGCUCAUGCACGGAAGCGUGGGGAGCAAACAGG